AAGAGAGGUCAAGCUGCCAGUAGGCUAGGUGCAGGAAGACAGUGAGCCUCACCAGGUGGGGAGGCUGCAUUCCCUCCCAGAAGGGAAGAAAAACAAGCUCAGGAGACUAGCUGAGGGAAGGAAUGGACUUCCCCUGUGCAUCCUAGAAGGACUGUUUACCCAAGCCUGUCUCACCAAGGCUAAAAACAGCUGAGGCUGGUGAGACAGAGAAGAAGCCCUGGGAGCAUGUCUGGAAGUUGUGAGGAUGGCUGCUGUCCAUGGAAUCAUACCUCCCUUCAAAUCCACAUGUGUUUGCUGAGUAAGAUAAUGCUGAACUCUAAUGGACAAAAUAACUCUCUGGAGAAGCCAUGCUGGCAUUGCAAGGAGGCUGUCAGUGCAGAAGUAAGAGGUCUCUCAAGUGUACUGAGACUGUUCCUGCUUUGAUUUGAAUUUUGUUUGAAAGCACUUCUUCAAGGCAGAGUGGGUCAUUGUGGGGAAACUUAUUAAGAGUGAAAGGCCAGCAUGUUUCCUUGUGGGAGUCCUCAAUUUCCGAGAACACUUUACACAUAAUUCCCAAGCCAAGGAGACAAUCCUUUGAUGGAGGAAAGGAGAUGUCUCCAACUGCUGAAACUCUUAGGGCCCACCCCUGAAGGCCAGUCUUUGAUAUCUGCUUUUACUCUUCCUCUAUGCUGAAAAAGGGAAUGAUCAAAAAUGGAAACAUUGUAAAUAAAACUAAGAAUAGGAAUACUACCACUGUGUCUAGGUACUAGUCAAUUUAUCACACUGACAUUAGAACCACUGCGCGUAGCUGUGAGUAUACUACAACUGCAACUGUUGAUAGGACAUCCAUUGUACCUUGGGAGAAUUCUAUUGCCCUUCCAAGAACUUCCUUUAAACAAGAUGUGAUUAUUUUAGGGAAAAACUCUAAAACAGCCAAUUCUCUCUCCAGUACUUUCAUUGAAGAGGGAGGAAAAAUUGAACGGCGCUGAUGACAUAGAAUGGAGAGAUGAAAUACACAACUCCAACAAGACUCCCCGAAGAAAUCCAUAACCAAUGGUGCAGGUGCCUGAGCUCUAACUUUUUUCAGCUGCCUUCUUGAUAAAGGAUAAUAUUUUCUUUGUUAUCUAUUAGUAGAUACUGAACUUCAGCAAAGUUCUUGUAAAAGGGUGGCUUGAAUGUAGUCUGGAGCUCCUGGGGCUAAAACAGCCCUGAUUACAGCAGCAUUGAAUCAUAGUCCCAGGAUUAAAAAGGAAGCCCAGGAGACUGCAGCUAUGGCUGUAGAUACAGCAGGGAGCAAGAAGGCUCCUGCAGGACCUGAAAAGCCAGCAGGAGACAGAUCUCUUGGCAAGGGGACUUGGAGAGGACUGUGGAGAAAGUCAAACACCCAGCAGAAGGUACAGGGAAGCACAGACCCUCAGGACGGAGGGGCUGUACCCAGCUAAAACUGGGAUAAUGGUUGAGAACUUGUUUUAUUUUCAAAGACUGUUUUUUGACUACUGUGCAAGUGGCACUGAACCAGGGUUGGGGCCUUGAGGGUUUGGGUGUACCUAGUGGAUUAAAUAAAUGGAACCCUUGUGGGGAUUGUUUCAAUUGAGUUCUUAAAGGGCCCUGAAGAUUUUGGGGGAGGGUGCAAAGCUCAGCAUUGCAACUUGAUGAACCAGCAGGUUCUCUCUAAAGCAUACUCUGGAACAGCUUUUUAAAGCCAAGCUCGUUUGGCCCUGCUGACUGGAAACCAAUAUUGGUGACACAACUUUGAACUUCUAUAAUGCCUAGAAGCCAAGAAUCUCUCAUGCUUCACCAAUGUUUAAUGGAUUAAACCUAAUACCUCUUUGAAGUGGAGAACUCUUAUCCUCUUAAAGAUGAAGAAACCUUAUCUGCACUAGAACUAUGGCCAUGAAGCUUACAUCACCAGGGUAAGGAGAUACAGUGGAGGAUAUGGGUAAGAAAAAUGAAAUGUAAUUUAUUUACAGCAGUGGCCCGAUCGGGCAGCCUCUGUAGUUGCUGAGGUCUGCAACAGAUGUUCUCAGUCAUUCCUGGAUCCAAGUAGCAGGGGCAAAGGUUGUAAAUAGAAACUGAGAUAAAGGAUCUAAUAUAAUGGUGGUUCAUCACUCACCCAGAUGUAAGUGCAGCACACAGGUCAGGCAGCAACAAGCGGAGUGAAGAAAGAGAAGGGAGGAACCGCUGGACAGAAGAGAUGGGGAGCUUAUACAUACACAUGUCAUGGUCACCACAAAAUAUGAAAAAGUAAAGAGCAAAACUUUCUCCUAGGGCAUAGCUAACUCUUUUGCUCUGUACUCUGCUCUGGGGAAGGGCUUUGCUGUAGAAGCACCAGAAAUGGACCCAACCAGUGAAGUUCAGCUCCAAGCUUUCCAAAAGUUCAGUGGGAUUUGAAUUCUUAUUUCCUGUAUAGGCCCUUCUCUAACAGUGCUGCUUCCAAUUACCACUUCUGUUUCUUUCUCUACCUCUCAUAUUGCCUGUCAGAGAAAGAGAAGAGAACUUGGCCUGCUCUAGUGAUACCACAAUGGUGAGACAGAUCCACCAUUAUGAGGUGGAGAAUAGUUACUAGGGCAACAAGAUUUGCUUCAUUUCUACUAUAAAUGGCAGCUGUCUAUUACUAGAUAAAUUACCUCAAAUUUCUAAGGCCCUCUUGACAAUUGGUUGGAGUAUUUUGUCAAGAAGUCCUGUAACACGGUGUUGCUAGGUGCUCAAUUAAGAAUACUGAAGGUCAACCACCAUUCUCCAACAUUUAAAGACUACUUUUUAUGAGUUUUAUAUUGAACUGGCACCAUUGUACCACUCAUCUAUUGGCUAUAACUAUGCAAUGGUACAUAAAUAAAAAUCCCUGAAAUGUAAGUUAAGCAAUAACACAUGGUGGUGGGUCACAUGGACUUGAAAUUUGGGCAUUGACUCUCAUUCAGAAAAAUGAAGAAAAUCAAAAUAAGUAUAUUUGCAUUUCAUUUCUACUUGAAAUUUGCCUGUUUUUAUG